GGAGGGUGCAGCUCAGAGGUAGGGCAUGUGCUUAGCAGACACGAGGUCCUGGGUUCCACCCCCAGUCCUUCCA
rfam:Camelus ferus unplaced genomic scaffold scaffold707, whole genome shotgun sequence.